AACAUUAAAGGGACUUUAUAAAGAUAGUCAAAGAGUGAUUGAAAUUGUAGGGAGGGAAGCGGAUGGGGGCCGGUGAUGCGCCUCGGUCAGAUAUUGAAAGGUGGUGACUCGGUCCGCUAAUCGACUCAGAGAGUGGACCAACAUGGAUUAGGGGAGAGGACAAGGGCCGAGCUCUCGAUACGCCUAUGGAAUGUCGUCUUCUAAAUUGUGGUAGGCAACAUGCCCCUCUGGCGUACUACGACAUCUACGCGCUCUAGACCCUGGCCUGUGGGCUCCUUGUUCGACAUGUCUUGAAACACGU
rnacentral:rRNA from 1 species